rnacentral:rRNA from 1 species
UGAGGAAUAUUGGUCAAUGGGCGUAAGCCUGAACCAGCCAAGUCGCGUGAAGGAUGACGGUCUUAUGGAUUGUAAACUUCUUUUAUCCGGGAGUAAAGUGCGCCACGUGUGGCGUAUUGCAAGUACCGGAAGAAAAAGCAUCGGCUAACUCCGUGCCAGCAGCCGCGGUAAUACGGAGGAUGCGAGCGUUAUCCGGAUUUAUUGGGUUUAAAGGGUGCGUAGGCGGGAAAAUAAGUCAGCGGUGAAAGUUUGAGGCUCAACCUUAAAAUUGCCGUUGAAACUGUUUUUCUUGAGUGUAAAAGAGGUAUGCGGAAUGCGUGGUGUAGCGGUGAAAUGCAUAGAUAUCACGCAGAACUCCGAUUGCGAAGGCAGCAUACCGGGCUACAACUGACGCUGAAGCACGAAAGCGUGGGUAUCGAACA